AACCUAAAAAGGAGGCGGCACUUUUUUUAUACCCAUUAGGAGUGAAUUUCUACAGUUUAUUCAUCAUUGAAACUUUGCUUUUCAAAAUUUUCUUACCAAAAUCACGAAGGUGGAUUGAGAUCAAAGUUUUAAUUUAGGAAAUCGGCGGGCACAAUAAAAUUGGCGAACCAGUUUUGUUAUAUAGAAAACUCUCUUGGCCAAUACAUUCAAUCACCACUUGCAAAUGCAAAAGCAUAAGUAAAAAGUUACUAUCGACACUAAAACAACAUCCAACUAAUCAAAGGAUAAUUGAUACACAUGAUUCAAAUGAGACUCUUCCUUCUUCUCAAUUUAUAUUUUGAUGAGCCAAAUGUGUUUGAUGGUUGGAGAUAAGUUUCGAGACAAAUUACAAGAUAAAUUUUGAUGGUUGAUAAGCAAUAGAAUUUGGCUGCAGCCACUAGUAAUUGCCCAAUUUUCCAAAUGAGAGAC